ACAUUGCUGUGGUGUACGAAUUCAUACAAUAGUGUUGACCGAACAAAUUUUUGUAUUUAUAUGGGAGACACAAGUCAUCUAACAGCAUGCAAGCCGUUUCACGCGGAAGCAGCUUCAGUUAGAGCGAGUCGCCCACCUGCUAAUUAGCGCGGGUUCAAUACAAAUCAUGAAUCUCCGGCACCAAUACAGCAGUAUG
rnacentral:sRNA from 1 species